CAAUAGCGUAUAUUAAAGUUGUUGCGGUUAAAACGCUCGUAGUUGGAUUUCUGUUGAGGGCAGCCGGUCCGCACUUCGUGCGUGUAUCUGGUUUGACCUCGGCAUCCUCUCAAAAUACGUUUCUGCGCUUGAUUGCGUGGAGCGGAGUUUGAGACUUUUACUUUGAGGAAAUUAGAGUGUUCACGGCAGGCAAUCGCCUUGAAUAUAUUAGCAUGGAAUAAUAAUAUAGGAUCUUGGUUCUAUUUUGUUGGUUUCUAGAGCUAAGAUAAUGAUUAAUAGGGACAAUUGGGGGCAUUCGUAUUAACGCGUCAGAGGUGGAAUUCUUGGAUUGCGUUACGACGAACUACUGCGAAAGCAUUUGCCAAGGAUGUUUUCAUUGA
rnacentral:rRNA from 1 species